ensembl:lncRNA
CCCAGCGCAGGGCCUUCCUGCUUGGCGGCGUUUGCUCGCGUCCAGCGCAGCUCUCUGCAGGCCGCGCCUUCGUCCUGCACCGGUCCCCGGAGCCCACUGCCUGCGCCGCCUAGGCCUCUCCCCUACCGCCGCUCGCCCACGGACUCUGACGUGUCCCUGGACUCCGAGGACUCCGGGGUUAAGUCUCCGGGCAUCCUUGGUUACAACAUCUGUCCCCGCGGGUGGAACGGCAGCCUGAGGCUCAAACGCGACAGCCUCCCCGCUGAGGCUUCGUGCAGCACCUAGAGCCCCAGCUCCACCCCGGGAGGGCAAGCCAGAAACGUCACCAGGCUUCGGGGACCCAGCACCGCCACCCGGAGAGGGUCCGGCCUCUAGAUAGCCUCAGACAUAAGGGGCCAAAGGAGGAGGGAGUAGGGGCCCAAGCUGGGGUUGGUUGUGUAACCGAACUGUUUGCUGCGUGGCACGACUCUGUCCCAGUCGGACGGCCAGCUUUCCCAUUUGUUUAACGUGGCCUUGGACAAGACAGUCUGCAAAUGUCUAAAUUUCCCCUUCCAUCAACACACACAUUUGUGCCUUAAAGGAGGCAGUUGUGUGUGCAUACGAGACCCUUGGUCGAGCUGUGUUUCAGGUUCCAUGCCCCUUCCUCCUCACUCUGCUCUAGAGUCUGGCAAAUGAGCAGUGUCAGGACUGAAGCCAUGUCCCAAGUCCAGGCCCUGGCUUGACCAUCCUGCUCCCUGGCACCGAGAUUUAGGAGCAGCUGUUUUCCACCCCUUCUCAGAGAAGGUCUAUUUUUACCCAGUGACCUUUAGAGAGAUCCCCCAGGCCAGUUCAAGGUGCCUUGCUGGCUUCUGUGGAGAGAAGAGACAGGACAUUCUCCCCAGGCCAUGUCAUGAUACUUUCUCCACCCCAGCUCAGCCUAUCCAGGGAGGAGCACUGUAAAGCAAUGACUUUCCUCAGGCUUACCUUUGGGCCUCCAGGCCAUCAGUCGCUUCUGGACCCAUUCACGACAGGCUCUGGGUUCAAAGCUGAGGGAAGGAGGAAGAGUUACUGAACUACCUGUGGCCUUGCAUGCUUGGCCUCAGUUGGGGGUCCCUAUUUGGAAGGAGGGAGGCAGAGCUUUCCUUGUUAGAGACAGUGUGCAAGCCAUGGCCAGGAUGCAUAGAAGUAUAGCAGGGAUGGCAUUGGCUCAGAUGACCAGUGAGGGCUCUUCCAUGCUGAAAUGUGUUCCAUGGUAUUAGGAAGUGGGAAAGAGUGGUGGUGGAGGGUCUGGCCUUGAAUUCAGGGCAGAUGACCUUGAGUGGGGAGGUAAGAGGUUAGGCCAGACCCUGCCUGUGUUUCUGGCCAUCUGGGAAGUGUCCCCCUCUUCAGUUUCUGUCCCCAGCCCCAGUGUCCAUAUCACACUCAGAAGAGUGGACACCACCCCAUCCAUCUCUUUCCCAUCACUUGCUGGCCUGACUCAUGCCUGGUACCCAGUGACCUUGGGAAGUCUGGCCACAGCUCCUAGCCUGUUCCUUAUACCUUAGUGGCCAUUUCCGAUCCCCAGGAGAGACCUGGGGAGGCAGAGUUCUGUAAUUUCCAGAGUUGGCUAGUGGUGCCCGCUAGAGAUUCAGGAUGUCAGCUUCAGGAUACUUGGAAUGGGUGAGUGGUGGGUGGCUGGAAUUGGCCAUGGAUCAAAUGUGGGUGGGUGAAAGCAUAUCAGGAUGUUACUAGAGGUGAGCGACAGAGUGUGCUUCGGGUUAGGAGAAGACUUCCCCAGCCAUCAAGGUGACGUUAGACCUGGAACCCCUGAGUGAGGCUAGGGGAAGCUGGGUCAAGAUGAAAGAGAGUCAGGGUUGGGUGGGGGCACUUUGGAACAACCGAGUAAUAUUAGUGGUGUCCUACGGCCUAAGGGCCGGGGACACAGGUCCCGUCGGGGGAAGGUGAGAAGGUGUUCCUGCUUAGUUAAUAAGGAGCUACCACAUUUACCAAAGUCCUUGCCUGCUGAAGGGUCUCUUGUAGCAUGGGAGACAGGGGUUAGAGUGCCUCAGAGAAGGGACAUGAUCAGGCCUUUGGCUGACUAGCACAGAGGAUCCAUUUCUUCCUGCAUUUCCCAAAAGGGCCAGCAAGAGGCAGCCUUGGGAAAACGCAGCUCUGUCCUGAGCUGUCCUCUCAUGGGAACUUCCUUCUCUCCUGCUCGCUUCUCUGACACACCAGAGCUUGCCUGUGUGCUGCCUCUGCCUCCUGUAGAAUUCAGCUCAAUAAAUGCUUUCUGAAAUCUUUGGUCUCCUGUGUCAUUUUAGGCUUGCCCUUAGCCCCUCCCUUUUCCCCAAGUAGGGAACAGUCCCCAGGACUCUGGAUAGAUGGGACUGUCUGAGACACCUGGGCUGGGAGCUUGGGAAUAACAGCUAUGAGGAGAGAUGGAGAAUGACAGAAAAUCUUGGGGGCACAGAAGAAGUCACUGGGUUGAAGUCCUGACUCGCUAGGUGGCCCUGGGUGAGCC